rnacentral:rRNA from 1 species
GAAUAUUGGACAAUGGGGGGAACCCUGAUCCAGACAUGCCGCGUGUGUGAAGACGGCCUUUUGGUUGUAAAGCACUUUCAGCGAGGAGGCGGAGCUCUUGGUUACUACCCAAGAUGAUUACACGUUACCCGCAGAAUAAGCACCGGCUAACGCUGUGCCGGCAGCCCCGGUAAUACAGAGGGUGCAAGCGUUAAUCGGAUUUACUGGGCGGAAAGCGCGCGUAGGUGGCCAAUUAAGUCAAAUGUGAAAUCCCCGAGCUGAACUUGGGAAUUGCAUUCGAUACUGGUUGGCUAGAGUAUGGGAGAGGAUGGUAGAAUUCCAGGUGUAGCGGUGAAAUGCGUAGAGAUCUGGAGGAAUACCGAUGGCGAAGGCAGCCAUCUGGCCUAAUACUGACACUGAGGUGCGAAAGCAUGGGGAGCAAACA